GGACUACACGGGUUUCUAAUCCUGUUUGCUCCCCACGCUUUCGCGCCUCAGCGUCAGUGUCGGUCCAGUGAGCCGCCUUCGCCACUGGUGUUCUUCCCAAUAUCUACGAAUUUCACCUCUACACUGGGAAUUCCACUCACCUCUCCCGAACUCAAGCCUCGCAGUAUCAAAAGCAAUUCCCAGGUUGAGCCCGGGGCUUUCACUUCUGACUUGCAAGGCCGCCUACGCGCCCUUUACGCCCAGUAAUUCCGAACAACGCUAGCCCCCUUCGUAUUACCGCGGCGGCUGGCAC
rnacentral:rRNA from 1 species